GCCUGUUUGGCUCAGUGGAUAGAGCGUUAGCCUGAGGACUGAAGGGUUCUGGGUUCGAUUCCCACCAAGGGCU
rnacentral:tRNA from 1 species